GAGCCAUUAGCUCAGUUGGUAGAGCACCUGACUUUUAAUCAGGGUGUCGAAGGUUCAAGU
rnacentral:tRNA from 1 species